AAGAAAUGAUAAACUUUCUAGAUGUGUAUUCCAUUGCAUUACCCAGAUAACAGUUUCACUUUUUUUCCCCAGUGACCUCUGAAGUUUUUAUUGGCCUUCAGUUCCCCCAAAGGAUUCCCUGCUUCUGCUGGCUUAACGUCUGAGAACUUUGUUGUCAUUGGUCUCAGACACCACGUUACCAUCUACUAUCCGGUAGGUGGUGGUCUUUUGAAUGGUUGCAUGGGAGUUGCUGCUGUUCAAGUCAUCACCAAGAUUGAAGUCCUUGCCAUCUUCCAGCAGGUGGCGGUAGGUGGCGAACCUGUAGCUUGACCUUGAUGUUCAGCAGAGCCUGGUACUCCUGAGCCUGGUGUUGUCCCUCUGCCCAGGUCUGUGUGAGCUCCGACUCCAGGUGUAGCAGGAUCUCCUUGAGCUCCUCCAUCUGCAGGGCAUAGUGGGCCUCCACAUCCCUCAGGCUGUUCUCCAAGCUGGCCUUCAGGUGCUCCCAGAUCUUGCUCUCCAGCUGCCAGUUCUCUGUCUCCAGGCUCCUCACUCUGUCCAGGUAGGAGGCCAGGUGGUUGUUCAGGCUUUGCAUUCCUGCCAGAACCUCCCAUUCCUGCCAGAACCCCUGCCAUCCCCGCAGCCAGGCCCCUGGACCCCAAGCCACCCGGGAAGCUGGUGGAGUGGGACACAGAGAUCCAAGAACCAGAGACCCUGGCGCCUGCAUAGAUGCUGGCCACGCUGCUGACUUGCCAGGCCCUGUAGGGAUUCCUGGACAGUGCCCAGGGACCAGCAGAAGUUGGUAGAGAAGCUGGAGGAGUGGUGAAGCUCAUGCUAUUUGGGGAGGAGAGCAAGAAGACAGGACUCCGACUUUGCCAAUGACCGUUUUUCACUUUUAUCUGUAUUACAGCAAGUAUGUUUGUAUUGUAGAUUGAAUACUUUUCUAAUACAAUAAAACAC
rnacentral:lncRNA from 1 species